AACGAACGCUGGCGGCGCGCCUAAUACAUGCAAGUCGAGCGAGAAGGUGUAGCAAUACACUUGUAAAGCGGCGAACGGGUGAGGAAUACAUGGGUAAUCUACCAUCGAGCGGGGAAUAACCAGCCGAAAGGUUGGCUAAUACCGCGUACGCCUCCGGAUCUUCGGGUUCGGAGGGAAAGCCACACUGUGAGUGCGGCGCUCUUUGAUGAGCUCAUGUCCUAUCAGCUUGUUGGUAGGGUAACGGCCUACCAAGGCUUUGACGGGUAGCUGGUCUGAGAGGACGAUCAGCCACACUGGCACUGCGACACGGGCCAGACUCCUACGGGAGGCAGCAGUAAGGAAUAUUGCGCAAUGGGCGAAAGCCUGACGCAGCGACGCCGCGUGGGGGAUGAAGGUCUUCGGAUUGUAAACCCCUUUCGGGAGGGAAGAUGGAGCGAGCAAUCGUUCGGACGGUACCUCCAGAAGCAGCCACGGCCAACUUCGUGCCAGCAGCCG
rnacentral:rRNA from 1 species